rnacentral:piRNA from 1 species
UGAGAAAUUGAGUUCCUGCCCC